UACGAAGGGUGCAAGCGUUACUCGGAAUUACUGGGCGUAAAGCGUGCGUAGGUGGUGAGUUAAGUCUGUCGUGAAAGCCCCGGGCUCAACCUGGGAAUGGCGAUGGAUACUGGCUCGCUAGAGUGCGGUAGAGGAGAGUGGAAUUCCUGGUGUAGCGGUGAAAUGCGCAGAUAUCAGGAGGAACACCGGUGGCGAAGGCGGAUCUCUGGGC
rnacentral:rRNA from 1 species